UGGCUUACCAGGCAGGGGAGCUACCAUGAUCACGAAGGUGGUUUUCCCAGGUUGAGGCUCAUCCAUUGCACUGCGGAUGUGCUGACCCCUGCAAUUUCCCCAAAUGCGGGAAACUCAGCUGCAUAAUUUCUGAGAC
rnacentral:snRNA from 1 species